AUUGCCUGCUGAAUUAUUAUGAUAAUUAUUUUACAAAUUCAAUAUAUUUGGCGGUAAGAAAAGAACUCAGAGAAACCUGCGAGUUAAUUGGAUGAUCCACCAUUUUUACUUCUUAUUAUGUUUGUUACCUGUAUGUCUGUUUAGAGUAUUGUUAAAUCUUUAGUCUUCUCUAUUUAAAAGAAUGUUAAUUCAGGUCAAUAUAGGGAUUGUUAAUAAGUCUUCUUGGGUUGCAUUUAGGAUAAAUAGUAGUCUUUCCAAAAUUAGGCUUAAUUCGGAUUUGAAAGUAAAUAUUCUAUAAAUAUAUUAAAUUUUAUUUUUCUUAAGUACAAAUCCCGUCCCUUCUAUUACAAGGAGU
rnacentral:rRNA from 1 species